rnacentral:rRNA from 1 species
UAGGGAAUUUUCGUCAAUGGGGGGAACCCUGAACGAGCAAUGCCGCGUGAGUGAGGAAGGUCUUCGGAUCGUAAAGCUCUGUUGUAAGAGAAAAACGGCACUCAUAGGGAAUGAUGAGUGAGUGAUGGUAUCUUACCAGAAAGUCACGGCUAACUACGUGCCAGCAGCCGCGGUAAUACGUAGGUGGCGAGCGUUAUCCGGAAUGAUUGGGCGUAAAGGGUGCGUAGGUGGCAGAUCAAGUCUGGAGUAAAAGGUAUGGGCUCAACCCGUACUGGCUCUGGAAACUGAUCAGCUAGAGAACAGAAGAGGACGGCGGAACUCCAUGUGUAGCGGUAAAAUGCGUAGAUAUAUGGAAGAACACCGGUGGCGAAGGCGGCCGUCUGGUCUGGAUACUGACACUGAAGCACGAAAGCGUGGGGAGCAAAUA